rnacentral:rRNA from 1 species
UGUUCAGGGGUAAACCUGUGGUUCCCGAAAGUUCGAACGGGGAGAUUCAAUUGCCUCACCGGUUAUGACCAUUUAGUAGUGUUGUAUAUGAGACAUUAUAUUAUCUAUGGUAUUUUAUAUACUGUAUGAUUUAUAUAGUGCUCCUCUACUUAAUGUUAUUGUUUAUAGCCGGAGGCGUGCACUUCUCCCCUUGUAGGGSGUCGUGRCCCAUUGGGGUAUAUGUUGUCUAAGGCUUAUAAUGGAGACCGUGGCGUUAUGUUUCGGCAUUAGCGACCCGGACUUAUAAUGUCCCGACAUCUACCCGAUGGUAUGUUGUAUUGAUGGUGGGUCGCUCAACUUAUUGUAGCGAGCGUUCAGACCUAUGACAAAUGCUUGUAUGGUAUUUUGUGGAAAUCGGACAUGUGCCGGUUCUUCACAUAUGGUAUUGUUAGUCAUGGUGUUCUCGAACCGUUCCUUAUCAUCUGUCAACGGCGUUUAUGUUUUGGGUAAUUACAGGACCCGUCUUGAAACACGGACCAAGGAGUCUAGCAUGUGCGCAAGUCGUUGGGAUUUUAUUAAACCUAAAGGCGUAAUGAAAGUAAAUAUUUAUGAAUUUUCGUAAUUCAUUAAUUAAGGGAAGAUGGGUAACGAUUUAUAUGUUACCUCGCAUUCCCGGGGCGUCGCAUACUCAUUGCGAGUUGCGGCGCACCAAGAGCGUACACGCUGGGACCCGAAAGAUGGUGAACUAUGCCUGGUCAGGAUGAAGUCAGGGGAAACCCUGAUGGAGGUCCGUAGCGAUUCUGACGUGCAAAUCGAUCGUAUGAACUGGG